rnacentral:rRNA from 1 species
AGCGAACGCUGGCGGCAGGCCUAACACAUGCAAGUCGAACGGCAGCACAGUAAGUGCUUGCUCUUACGGGUUGCGAGUGGCGGACGUGUGAGGAAUACAUCCUAAUCUACUUUUUCGUGGGGGUUAACGUAGGUAAACUUACGCCAAUACCGCAUCCGACCUACGGGUGAAAGCAGGGGAUCUUCGCACCUUGCGCGAUUGAAUGAGCCGAUGUCGGAUUAGUUAGUUGGCGGGGUAAAUGCCCACCAAGGCGACGAUCCGUAGCUGGUCUGAGAGGAGGAUCGGCCGCACUGGAGCUGAGACACGCUCCAGGCUCCUACGGGAGGCAGCAGUGGGGAAUAUUGGGCAGUGGGCGCAAGUAUGGUCCAGCGAGACCGCGUGGGUGGAGGAGGCGUUCGGGUUGUAAAGCCCUUUUGUUGGGAGAGAAAAGCAGCAGGUUAAUACGAAGCUGUUGUGACGGUACCCAAAGAAUAAGCACCGGCUAACUUCGUG